CCUGUGACCUGCGCGUGUUGGGACAUCCCUAGCUGACGCCGGGACACCCGGGAAGCCGAGGAACGGUCUCCGUGGCUUUUGAGGAUGUGGCUGUGAACUUUACCCAGCAGGAAUGGGCUUUGCUAGAUUCUUCUCAGAAGAAUCUCUACAGAGAAGUGAUGCAGGAAACCUGCAGGAACCUGGCUUCUGUAGAAAUCAUAUGGCACAGAGACUGCGUGAAAGCAAAGAAGGUAGUCAGUAUGGACAAGUUGUCAGCCACAUUCCAAAUCUUGAUCUGAAUGAGAACAUUUCUACUGGAUUAAAACAAUGUAUAUGGAGAGAAGCAAUAUAAAUGUGAACAGUGUGGGAAACUUUUCGUUUCUGUUCCAGGUGUUAGAAGACACAUGAUAAUGCACAGUGGAAAUCCAGCUUAUAAAUGUACGAUAUGUGGGAAAGCUUUUCAUUUUCUCAAUUCAGUUGAAAGACAUCAGAGAACUCACACAGGAGAAAAACCCUAUAAAUGUAAAUGAUGUGGUAAAGCGUUCACUGUUUCCGGUUCUUGUCUAAUACAUGGAUGAACUCACACUGGAGAGAAACCCUAUGAAUGUAAGGAAUCUGGGAAAACACUCAGAUUUUCUUGUUUUAAGAUGCAUGAAAGGACUCACGCUGGAGAGAGAUGUACCAAAUGUAAUAAAGCCUUCAGCUGUUCCACUUCCCUUCAUGACCAUGGAAGCAUUCAUACUGGAGAGAGACCCUAUGAAUGUAAACACUGUGGCAAAGCC